rnacentral:lncRNA from 1 species
UCUGAGACACAGGCCAUGUAGCUCUUCCCUCAAGAGGUUGCAGGCAAUAAGCAUAAGUUUUUUUUGAAAUUAUCCACUCUGUAGCAAUCAGCAAUGUAAUCAUCCAAUUUGUUUGUAGUGCAGUGUAUGCAACUGAUGGCAUGAGAGCAAGGAAGGCCUGACAACUGCCAAUACCUACAACUACAUGUCCUGUCAUGCAAUCUGACAGUGUACCUAUGUACUCUUGUCUUCACUUCAUAUGCAUCAUUGCCAUUAAAAAUUGCAUGACAAUAAGCAGAAUAAUCUAUGCUUUUCUGUAGCUUCUUCAGUACUUUUGGACAGA